UACGGAGGGUGCAAGCGUUGUCCGGAUUCAUUGGGUUUAAAGGGUGCGCAGGCGGGACAUUAAGUCAGGGGUGAAAGACGGUUGCUCAACAAUCGCAGUGCCUUUGAUACUGGUGUUCUUGGGUGACCUUGAGGUAGGCGGAAUGGGUGGUGUAGCGGUGAAAUGCAUAGAUACCACCCAGAACUCCGAUUGCGAAGGCAGCCUACUGGAGGUUU
rnacentral:rRNA from 1 species